CGAGUUCGGGCGCGAGCUUGCUCUUUGAAAACUAACUGUACAAAGUAUGCUGUUUACCACAAAAAAGUGACGGUCACAAAUGUCCCAUUAAAUGUCGGGCUUUUUGUUUGUGCUGUGGAGAGCUGAAAGGCGGGUACUUUGGAGGUGAUGAAGAAAAUGGGACUUGCAACAUUGCCGUUCCAGCUGAGCUCAGCUGAGGCAGAAAACUCAUCAAGAUAUAGUGGCACCAUGAGUGAGAUUACAUCAAAGGUAAAGACGCUCCAAUUAAGGUGAAAUGCCUGGACCCAACUUGUCAUUUAAACCAUGUUGGCACCAGGCCUGAUCCACAGCAACAGAUAGGGAAGUGAAUGUCACCGCAGCCCUCUCAAACCCUCCAG